UUUUCAAGAGUCAAGAUAUUUUACUGGCAAUACCUGGCAACACUGGGUGAUAGUUUCCGUGCUGGAGGGGCAGAGGGCAGGUAGCGCGCGAGUAGCCUGCUGCAGUGACAUCACAAGAAACAUUUACGGCUGGUUAUGUUCACGCUAACCACACGCCGAGCCUGGCCGCUAGUGACGUAAGAGUUGUGCAUUCCUUAUGAAAACAUUGUGGGAACAGCGAAGUGUAUCCACUGAGUCUUCGCGGGGUUUCGUUUUCCAACAUUCAAACACCUCACAAGAGCGUCGGGCCGAGGGCAGAUCAGUGCACAGGGAUACAAUUACAAAUGGUUAUGUUCUCCUGUAGCCAAAAUCCGAGCCAGGCCGCUAGUGACAUAAGGCUUGUGUAUUCGUAAAAGACAGCAACGUGUAUUCUAACCAGCUUUCAAGGGAGUUUCAUUUUCAAACACACACCACCACACAAUGGCCGCCAGUGAUAACAAGCGUUGGACCGAGGUCAGAACAGAGCUUACAACGGAGGCAAUCGGGGAGAACAACAUCACGCCCUGCAUCAUUUGGUGGUCACAGUAGCGGCGUGCGUGUCCCCCUUCGCCUCUGCGGCAGCACAGGAGUCUCAACGUGGGGUCGAGCCAGUUGCCGUAUCCCUGGCCAACCAACAGGAAGGUUGAAGCCGACAUUGACCACUCCUGGCAGCGACGUGACAGAUCUGCUGAUUGACUGACGGCGAGGCGGAGAGGGAUUUUGACGAUGCGUGCUUUUGAUCGGACUCUUGAAGAAGGUGGGAGAACACACAUUCUGGCGCCUCGCUGUUGGGGCAUCU